rnacentral:rRNA from 1 species
GAUGAACGCUAGCUACAGGCUUAACACAUGCAAGUCGAGGGGAAACGGCAUUAAGUGCUUGCACUUUUUGGACGUCGACCGGCGCACGGGUGAGUAACGCGUAUCCAACCUUCCUAUGACUAAGGGAUAACCUGCCGAAAGGCAGACUAAUACCUUAUGGUCUUCACUGACGGCAUCAGAUGUGAAGUAAAGAUUUAUCGGUUAUGGAUGGGGAUGCGUCUGAUUAGCUUGUUGGCGGGGUAACGGCCCACCAAGGCAACGAUCAGUAGGGGUUCUGAGAGGAAGGUCCCCCACAUUGGAACUGAGACACGGUCCAAACUCCUACGGGAGGCAGCAGUGAGGAAUAUUGGUCAAUGGACGGAAGUCUGAACCAGCCAAGUAGCGUGCAGGAUGACGGCCCUAUGGGUUGUAAACUGCUUUUGUAUGGGGAUAAAGUCAAUCACGUGUGAUUGUUUGCAGGUACCAUACGAAUAAGGACCGGCUAAUUCCGUGCCAGCAGCCGCGGUAAUACGGAAGGUUCGGGCGUUAUCCGGAUUUAUUGGGUUUAAAGGGAGCGUAGGCCGGAGAUUAAGUGUGUUGUGAAAUGUAGACGCUCAACGUCUGACUUGCAGCGCAUACUGGUUUCCUUGAGUACGCACAACGUUGGCGGAAUUCGUCGUGUAGCGGUGAAAUGCUUAGAUAUGACGAAGAACUCCGAUUGCGAAGGCAGCUGACGGGAGCGCAACUGACGCUGAAGCUCGAAGGUGCGGGUAUCGAACAGG